UUAAAAAUAUUUGUCUACAUAUUCUUUAAAUGUUCUCCUUCAGGAAAAAGAGGCAGUCUCUCAAUUCAUACUUCAACUUCUCCAUUUUGAAUAGUUUAAUUAGCUGACUCAAUCCACAGGUGUUUUACAUGAAUGGAUAGAACACGUGAUUCUUUUAAUUCAGUGAUUCAUAUUUCAGUUUUUAAGCUACAUUUCCCUUCAAGGUUUUCAGUCACUCCAUGAUUUGUCAUUUUAGCAUUUGUAAAGCAACUCACCUUUCUGACAACUGUAAAAGUGACUAGUCAUAAUUUAUUUUAUGGCUGCAUUUUGGAGUUCCUAAGGGGCUCUUCUCUGGAAAUCAUUUCUUAAUUUCAGCGAAGCUCCAUUCUUCAACUUUCUCCUCAUUUAUGCUGGCAGAUGCUUUUGUGAUAUAUCAACGCCCAUCCUUGACAGCUGUCUCCUCAACAGGAUAGAGAAAAUGAGUGCUUCAUAUACAAUGUGAUUAUUUCAUUUUAGCGUGCAUUGCAGACUAAUAAAGUACUUAGACCACAAUGAAA